CCAAUUCCAUUUUUUUUAUAAGUUUUCUUAUUAUUUUGACAAGAAGAGAUGCUCAUUCUGAUCGAUAUAAGAGAAUAUUGCAUGGGAAGGAAGAAUAAAAACCACAAAUCCAACAAAGGCAUUAUUGGUGUUGGCUAUUAAUAGAAAGUGAUCUCUUCCUUUACAGUAAAAUUGGCUUUACAUAAACGAAGAUGAUUACCAUCUUCAAAACCAAAGUUAGCCAUAUACAUUGAUUAUAGCUAGUCCAAAGUAAUCAUAUAUAUCUUUUGUGGCUUUGGGAAAUAAACCAUGUACCGUUUCCCAUUAUGCAAGCAAAAUAGAUACACAUGUAGGGGGAAACUUACCUUUAGGAUAGCCUUUAAAUCAACUCAUAUUCAAGUUUCUAAACCAUUGCAAAUUAACCAAUUUAAAUCUGCUCAAGCUUUACUAAGGCUGUGCACUCAUUUAGACAAAUACGUUAGAGCUCAGCUGAAACAUUAACUGAAAGCUAAAUCAGUUCAGGGGCACUAAGACUCAAGAAAAGAGCCAUCUUAGUCUUCAGUUUCAAGGUAUAUAUUACUAAUUACAUCCCCCUUAAAAUACCAUUAUCUUGAACAUUACACACAAUUGUAGGAGAAUUAAUUGACUGCAGUGGUAUUGGUGAUAGUUUUAGGUGUUCCGAUUACCCACUGUGAAGUGUGAGCAAUUGAAACACCACAACAAAAAAUCAGCCCAAUACAUUAAAGAAAUCAAAC
rnacentral:lncRNA from 1 species